GGAGUUUGGGCCGUGUCUCAGUCCCAAUGUGGCCGUUCACCCUCUCCAGGCCGGCUACUGAUCGUCGCCUUGGUGGGCCGUUACCUCACCAACUAGCUAAUCAGACGCGAGUCCAUCUUAGGCCACCGGAGUUUUUCACACUGUGCCAUGCGGCACUGUGCGCUUAUGCGGUAUUAGCACCUAUUUCUAAGUGUUAUCCCCCAGUCUAAGGCAGGUUACUCACGCGUUACUCACCCGUCCGCCACUAAGUUAUCCAGAGCAAGCUCCGAAUAACUCCGUUCGACUUGCAUGUGUUAAGCGUGCCGCCAGCGUUCGUC
rnacentral:rRNA from 1 species